rnacentral:tRNA from 1 species
GCUUUCGUGGUGCAGUGGUUCUGCACGCUGGACCGACAUUCCAGAGGUCCGUGGUUCGAUUCCCGGCGAAGGUU